rnacentral:rRNA from 1 species
GACGGACGCUGGCGGCGUGCCUAAUACAUGCAAGUUGAGCGCUGAAGGUUGGUACUUGUACCAACUGGAUGAGCAGCGAACGGGUGAGUAACGCGUGGGGAAUCUGCCUUUGAGCGGGGGACAACAUUUGGAAACGAAUGCUAAUACCGCAUAAAAACUUUAAACACAAGUUUUAAGUUUGAAAGAUGCAAUUGCAUCACUCAAAGAUGAUCCCGCGUUGUAUUAGCUAGUUGGUGAGGUAAAGGCUCACCAAGGCGAUGAUACAUAGCCGACCUGAGAGGGUGAUCGGCCACAUUGGGACUGAGACACGGCCCAAACUCCUACGGGAGGCAGCAGUAGGGAAUCUUCGGCAAUGGACGAAAGUCUGACCGAGCAACGCCGCGUGAGUGAAGAAGGUUUUCGGAUCGUAAAACUCUGUUGGUAGAGAAGAACGUUGGUGAGAGUGGAAAGCUCAUCAAGUGACGGUAACUACCCAGAAAGGGACGGCCAACUACGUG